CAACCUGGGCCACAUCUCCACGGGAGAGAACGUUUAAAGAAAAAAAAAAGGCUUGCCGCCCCCGCCCUCCUCUGCGAAAGGCCCCCCAGUGCCCACGCCAGGAGGUGAGGCCUGGCGGGCCCAGCAGGGUCUCCCCUCCUCCCUGGCCCUCUCUUCUGGAACAUUCAACACGCGGUGUCUGCCUACUGAUCGGACAGCCUCUGCUCUGGGACGUUCUGGAAGAGCCACGCUCUUUCCGUCUCUCUCCGCACCCGCACUACCCUCCAUCUACGCCUCUCAGAGGGGCACCCGCAGGCCUUGAGGUGAGAACAAAGCCGGGGCCCCAGGAGGAGAAGCAGCGGGAGGAGCAGGGGCUGAGGAGGCAGACAGGCGGGCUCCUUCCCUCCCCGGCUGUCCCUGCCCUCGCGCGGCGGACGUAUUUUUCAAGUUUCUAAGAAAAUGAGCCCACGGAGGUUGUGCUUAAACCAGCACCCACGGCAGUUCCCACACAGCGUUGCUCCGCCGUGAGCACGGGCUUCAGGGGCAAAGCUGGGACAGUCACCGGCGCCGGAGCCCACUAUCAAAUCUCAGGCAAGUGGAGCGGCGAGUGACAUCGCUGCUACUUCUCAUGCAGGAGAGCGAGAAGAGGCCAAGUCACCACAGAACCAAGGCAGACGGCUGACGGCAGAGCCAGACGGACACGUCGAAGGAACUCUUCCCUGAACCCAACAGUCAGUACAACACCAACCCCCUGAAGCCGGCUCCUUCCCCGAGAAACCCCACAGCACGUGCUGAUCCUGUAAUGCGAGCCCAUCCUAACCCUGCCCCCAGCCCCGGAGGGCACACUGCCAGGCGGACCCACACCUGCUCUAGGAGGGCCCUGCUACCAUCACUGCGUUUAACGAGGCUGGUGACCUAUGUGGGCGUAGGUGUGACUCCCACUGCGCUGGGAAUCAGCACAAGAGAACACAGUAAGUUGGGACACAGUGGAGAACGUGGCUUAGUCUUCAUCAUCCGACCCUUCAGGGCUCAGCACCGUGCCAGGCACACAGUAGGCACUGGCAGCAAAGCAGCGGCAAAAGGGGCAACGUCCCAAGAAUGGACUUUCGGAAAAGAAAGAAUGAAUAAAAGUCACAAACACAGUCUUGCUCUCAAGAACACUCCGCCGUGCGUUUCUGAAGGGCGAUUCUGCUUAUGGAGAUAAAAGACGAAACAGAAUCCCUUUGCAAGCUGUUUCAACGUCUGCUCACAACGCUGUACACCUGAAACUAAGAUGUGUGGGGCAACUCUAAUGGAAAAAAAUUCAAAAAUUAUUUUUAGAAAAGAUAAAACAGCCCGAAAUCAAUUAGAAAGUUUCAAGCACAGGUUGAAAUACAUUGAGUCAGAUUCAUUACUUUAUACAUCACAGUGAGUCAACUAUUGUAAAAGAUAUGGUGGUGUAUACACACACACACACACACACACACACAUAAAUGCAUAUACAUAUGGUCACAUAUAUACAAACAUACACGCAUCCUUAAAACACAGACAUUCCAAUAGAAAUGGCAGCAGACCCUGCAAGCAUACCAAGUGUGUUAAGUUUAAACAGGCUGCGCUGAUAGCGUAUCAAGGACAAACAGGGCUCUAAACACAGAAUCUCCCUCCGUGUAAACGCUGCCACCUCGUUUACAAAUAUUUGAUUUGUCAAAAGCUGAUCUGCAGACAUUUUUGCCAGGAGUUUAGGGCAGAGGGGCUCUCCAGGUCUCCCCGGGGGCCCCUGGGGCAGCUCCGACUGGGAGGGGCUGGUGAGGGGUGUCGGUGACUUCGCCCCCAGCCCCAGGGAGGUCAGGACUCGCUUUCACGGGGACUCAGCCGCGCACUCUCACUGCUAAUCUCGCUUCUUCAGCAUCACAAACACGGACUGAGCGUUUCACAAACAAGUGCCCCCUUUGUUAAUAUUUUCUUUGGAUUCCACCAACACCUUCCUGGCCUCUUCAGGGGGCGUGUUGUGGGGGAGACCUCGGUACCGCUCCCUCGGGCAGCAUCAGGCCGAGAAUCAAUGAACCACGUCUGCCGGUGACACAACACCCAGCACUGAGGAGACCAGAAAGACUCGGAGCCUGGAACAAAGGCCAGUCCAGCUCUGGGCCAGGCCCUGCGACUCCAUCUCUUCCCAGGACCUCGCCCGCCUGCCCAGGUGAGGGCUCAGGUGUCAGCCACUCCGAGUCCCUAGGGAAGGAACGGAGCCAACGCCCUUCUCUCCUUACUCACCCUCCCCAACCUUUUCAUCAGGACACGCUGCGGCCCAGGAGCGCAUCCCAAAGCGGCCACUUGGUCCGAAGAGCAGAGGGGCCGGUCCCGGCUCCAGCUGCUGAGGGUCCCACCGAGCCUC